UACUUCAUGAGGUGUGUGUUUGCAGGUGUGGUCAGUAUAAGACUACUUCAUGAGGUGUGUGUUUGCAGGUGUGGUCAGUAUAAGACUACUUCAUGAGGUGUGUGUUUGCA